ACAUACGACCAUACCCAGUGGAAAAUACGGGAUCCCGUUCGCUCUCCCCGAGUCAAGCUGAGGAGCGCUUGAGUAGUAGUUAGGUCUGUGACAACUAGCGAAUACCGAGUGUUGUAUGUU
rnacentral:rRNA from 1 species